AAACAUUAUUAAAAAAAAAAGAAGCAAUCUUUAGUCACCACUCACACUACUCACAACCUAGCAAGAGGUGAUGAGUCACUUUUUAAAACUAGUAGCAAGAUGUACGUUAACCCCGGGAGAAAGGGUUGUUUUUUGUAGGAGAAUCUGUGGUCUAUUUCUUACCGUGUACCUUUGAUUAAUAGCAGUGAAUCUUGAAGAAAGAUGGUGUAGACGAGGACCUUCAUCGAUUCCUUCACAUGUUAUCUCCCCAUUUUCUUCUCUGUAACAGACGAUUCCAUUGGAUGGAUCCUCAAAAACCUGAAACAGUCAAAUCUAUUAGCGUACAAAACCAAGUGAUCUGAUCGGAAAGGGAGUUGUGCUAAUACUACUUCCAGUGCUGUUGACUGAUAUGUGAUUCUCUGCACUCAUCAUCACUAUGCUCGCGGGCUUUCUGGAAGCAGGAUCUUGGAUGAUGAUGGGAGCAGAAACAGAAAUCGAGUAUCUCACAGCCAUUAAUUGAUUCUCUAGCUAUAAGCUAUGUGGUGGAGUGGAGUACCAGAAAGAACUUUUACUAGCAUAUACUAAUGCUACUAUGUGAUGAACAAAACAAGGAGAUGCUGAAUUGAUGAUCGCUUGCACUUUUCCUUUUGCUAGCUAAUUAUGGAAUUUCCAUUAACUACAAGGUUUAUUAUAGGCCAUACAGAACAAUAUCCGACGUGUAUAUACUUGCACUGUUUGAUUGCUUACAAUAAUGUUCCUCUUUUUAUUUUCCGGGUCAUCAUUAGGCCAUGUAAGGAAAGAGCUCGUAGGGGGGGUGAUGUAUCGUAUUAUAGUAAGAUAAAUUAGGCCAUUUAGCUGCUAAUGUCUAAUCAGUUGAUCUCAGCAUUAGUGGAUUACUUUAGGUAAAA